rfam:Camelus ferus unplaced genomic scaffold scaffold554, whole genome shotgun sequence.
GAGGGUAUAGCUUAUGCAGUAGAGUGCAUUCUUAGCAUGCAUGAGGUCCUGGGUUCAAUCCCCAGUACCUCCU